rnacentral:rRNA from 1 species
UACAGAGGGUGCGAGCGUUGUCCGGAAUCACUGGGCGUAAAGGGCGCGUAGGUGGCGCUGCAAGUCGGUGGUGAAAGCUCGAUGCUUAACAUCGAGUCGGCCAUCGAAACUGCAGGGCUCGAGCACUGUAGGGGCAGAUGGAAUUCCGGGUGUAGCGGUGGAAUGCGUAGAGAUCCGGAAGAACACCGGUGGCGAAGGCGGCCUGCUGGGCAGUGGCUGACACUGAGGCGCGACAGCGUGGGGAGCAAACAGG